rnacentral:sRNA from 1 species
UGUGAGCGUGCAGCUAGAGAUGAAGGCGCUGUGGGACGAGUUCAACCAGCUGGGCACCGAGAUGAUCGUCACCAAGGCCGGCAGGCGGAUGUUCCCCACCUUCCAAGUGAAGCUCUUCGGCAUGGAUCCCAUGGCCGACUAUAUGCUGCUCAUGGACUUCGUGCCGGUGGACGAUAAGCGCUACCGGUGAGCAAGUGGUUGUAAGCGUGAGGGACCGGGAGGGCACCCUGGAAAGUGGCGGGUCUCCGCCUGGUGACCCAACUCCAAGGGUCGUCUGCACCAUGAAACUCUUUAGGCACCUGCGAUGCUGCCCGAUCAACCCGCUCCCUCCUCCACUCCCAUCUGACCCCAGACCCACAACCCUACUCCAUGCCCUCUCAGAAGCCGCCUCUGGAGCCGCAGGCUGCAGACAGCUCUUGCUCCCCUGGGCUGGUGUGGCCCUAGGGUGGUCAGCCAAGUACUCAGCCCCGGACUUCUUCAAGUCUCCCUCUCCCAGGAGGCCAGCCUGAGCGCCUAGUCCCCUUCCCCCAUCCCCAGGGAACUCUG